rnacentral:rRNA from 1 species
AUGCCUCCACUUCAUGUCACAUGGGUGUGCGCAUGGUGUUCGUCUCUCGCCGCUGUUACCAGACAGGCAGAAGAGUGGCAGCCUACAGAACAAAGCACCGUCUGCUUGUACUGGCCCUAUUUCACUGCAUUUCCCCACAAUUUGUUGCAACAAAGAACCAUCUUUUUGGUAGCACAAUGGUUUGCAGAAUCAUGGCAGCUGGGACUAAAUUGUACUGCUGUGAAUCAAAACUUCACUGCUAUGCAAUCAAAAUUACAGCUGCAAGAAGGAUACGUGAUUCCAGAAAUGUCCCCCAACAUGUACUGGGCAGCUACGGAGCCUGUACUGACAAUGAACUAUGGAUCGACAGCUAGAGGCAGAGGAGCUCCACCCCGGCGAGUCGAGAGUAAAUCCACACAUGGCAGCGCAUUCAGUUGA